UACGUAGGGUGCAAGCGUUAAUCGGAAUUACUGGGCGUAAAGCGUGCGCAGGCGGUUUGUUAAGUCUGUCGUGAAAGCCCCCGGGCUCAACCUGGGAAUUGCGAUGGAGACUGCAAGGCUUGAAUCUGGCAGAGGGGGGUAGAAUUCCACGUGUAGCAGUGAAAUGCGUAGAGAUGUGGAGGAACACCGAUGGCGAAGGCAGCCCCCUGGGUCAAGAUUGACGCUCAUGCACGAAAGCGUGGGGAGCAAACAGG
rnacentral:rRNA from 1 species